GCAGCAGUCAACUUACCGGGUAUCUGGACCCAACUUGCCUUCGGAAUCAGCUCUGGAGGGAGAUGAAUCCAGCAAUGUUACCAGGUUUCAGAGAUGAAACUUUAUCCAUUCCUCUGCUUUUGUUUUGCGUUCACGCUUAUCAAAGCAGCACCGCAUGAAACUUUAA